UCUCAUCCCUUGGUUUUAGUGCAUCUUUAGUGCAUCUUAAGGCUGGGGCGCGCGCCUCCGAAUUUCUGUAAUAAGCAAUUGCUACUGUAGUUCCUGGAGAUUAAGUAGCAUAUUUCACGGCCCAUCGUCAAGGCUUGAACUUACGGUGGCGGAAAUAAUUGCAUCUAUCUUCCUCAUGCAGGCGACAAUAAUGUGUUUCUGCUUUCGCGCUUCGCUUUGCCUUAUACGUGGCGGAUUCUUGACGCUUUAAACACCUAUUGAGCAACAUUGGUAACAACUUGUAUCCGAUAUUGUGCUGUAUCACUUUCGAGGAAUACCCCGGUUGAUUGUGGGAUUCAAUUAACUUUUUGGAUGGUCAUCUUCGAAUACUGAUACAGAAAGAGAAGCGAGUGAUAUUGAAAUAUUAGUCAACUGUGGAAUCACACUCGUUUGCAGGACGAUGGCUGCCAUGGCUGUGUCUCUGUACAUCUUGGUCGCUCAUGUAUGUUUUCAUCUGAAUCUCGCAGCAGCUAGGUUCAUGUGUGCAGAGCCUAAACACCAAGUCUUAAGUGUAGCCGAAGGAACUCCAAUCACUUUACCGUGUAUCUAUAAAAACAUCAGCACCAGCUCCAACGUCUAUUGGUAUGCCGGCGUUACUACCUUAUAUGCAAACGAGGAGCCUAUAACCAUAUCGGAAAAAUAUUCGCUCGAUUACCAGAAAGUUAGCCCUGCUUUAACAAAAAGCUCGAACCUAACGAUUCUCUCCGCGCACAGAAAUGAUCCACUAAAUUACACGUGUCAAGCCAGAGUGGGGAGUUGCAGAAAACAGGAGAUUUUUACUGUCAUCG